GUACCUCUGGUGUACCAGUUGUUCUGCCAAGGGCAUGGCUGGGUAGCUAUGUACGGAAUGGAUAAGCGCUGAAAGCAUCUAAGCGCGAAGCCAACUUCAAGAUAAGAUUUCCCACCGCAAGGGUAAGACCCCAGAAAGACUAUCUGGUUGAUAGGUCGAAGGUGUAAGUGCAGCAAUGUAUUUAGCUUAUCGAUACUAAUAGGUCGAGGACUUGACCAAU
rnacentral:rRNA from 1 species